rnacentral:rRNA from 1 species
GACGAACGCUGGCGGCGUGCCUAAUACAUGCAAGUUGAGCGCUGAAGGUUGGUACUUGUACCAACUGGAUGAGCAGCGAACGGGUGAGUAACGCGUGGGGAAUCUGCCUUUGAGCGGGGGACAACAUUUGGAAACGAAUGCUAAUACCGCAUAAAAACUUUAAACACAAGUUUUAAGUUUGAAAGAUGCAAUUGCAUCACUCAAAGAUGAUCCCGCGUUGUAUUAGCUAGUUGGUGAGGUAAAGGCUCACCAAGGCGAUGAUACAUAGCCGACCUGAGAGGGUGAUCAGCCACAUUGGGACUGAGACACGCCCCAAACUCCUACGGGAGGCAGCAGUAGGGAAUCUUCGGCAAUGGACGAAAGUCUGACCGAGCAACGCCGCGUGAGUGAAGAAGGUUUUCGGAUCGUAAAACUCUGUUGGUAGAGAAGAACGUUGGUGAGAGUGGAAAGCUCAUCAAGUGACGGUAACUACCCAGAAAGGGACGGCUAACUACGUG